rnacentral:rRNA from 1 species
UGCCAGACUCCUACGGGAGGCAGCAGUGAGGAAUAUUGGUCAAUGGGCGGGAGCCUGAACCAGCCAAGCCGCGUGAGGGAAGACGGCCCUACGGGUUGUAAACCUCUUUUGUCGGGGAGCAAAGCGAGUCACAUGUGACUCAUUGAGAGUACCCGAAGAAAAAGCAUCGGCUAACUCCGUGCCAGCAGCCGCGGUAAUACGGAGGAUGCGAGCGUUAUCCGGAUUUAUUGGGUUUAAAGGGUGCGUAGGCGGAAGGUUAAGUCAGCGGUCAAAUGUCGGUGCUCAACACCGGCCUGCCGUUGAAACUGGUCUUCUUGAGUGAGCGAGAAGUAUGCGGAAUGCGUGGUGUAGCGGUGAAAUGCAUAGAUAUCACGCAGAACUCCGAUUGCGAAGGCAGCAUACCGGCGCUCAACUGACGCUGAGGCACGAAAGCGUGGGGAUCGAACAGGAUUAGAUACCCUGGUAA